rnacentral:rRNA from 1 species
CAUAGCCGCGGGAAUACGAAGGGUGCAAGCGUUAAUCGGAAUUACUGGGCGUAAAGCGUGCGUAGGCGGUUUGUUAAGUCUGUUGUGAAAUCCCCGGGCUCAACCUGGGAAUGGCAAUGGAUACUGGCAAGCUAGAGUGUGUCAGAGGAUGGUGGAAUUCCCGGUGUAGCGGUGAAAUGCGUAGAGAUCGGGAGGAACAUCAGUGGCGAAGGCGGCCAUCUGGGACAACACUGACGCUGAGGCACGAAAGCGUGGGGAGCAAACAGGAUUAGAUACCCCCGUAGUCCCUGUCUCUUAUACA